rnacentral:lncRNA from 1 species
CGCAUACCUCUGCUUCUUUUCAUUAACCUGCUAUCCUCUUUACAAAUGGGAUUCUUCACCCACUCCCUUCUUCUAGAUUAGCAAUGCCCUGUUAAGUAAACGAACACGAAAUUCAAAGGGAAACAGGAGCAAUCAUCAUUACCAGCUGCCGUGUUAAGCAUUGCGAAAACGCUCACGAUUCACAGAAAAAUCCAUGCUGUUCUUUGAAGGCAUUCAAGCCUUAAUAGCUAGCUGGAUGAAUGUUUAACUUCUAGGCCAGGCACUACUCUGUCCCAACAAUAAGCCCUGUACAUUGGGAAAGGUGCCGAGACAUGAACUUUGGUCUUCUCUGCAAUCCAUCUGGAGCAUUCACUGACAACAUCGACUUUGAAGUUGCACUGACCUGGCCAGCCCUGCCACUUACCAGGUUGGGGUCUGCCCUCAGGGGAAGCUGUCUAACCAGAGCCUAACCCACUAGGGUUUUAUCAGAACCUAACUGACCUGAGGAAAAGAAAUACUCAACUCCAGCAAGCUCCAGCCUUCCAAAUGGAGGAGGAGAAAACCCAACUCCAGCCCACUUCAGCUAUCUUGUCCCACAUAAAGGGGAAGUGGAAGAAACCUGAGAAGCAGGCAUGAAGUUCACAGUCCAGAGGUACAGACACAUCAGAGUUCAGUAUCUGAUGAAUUAGAUGCAAAAACCUCAACAAAGUAUUAGCAAAUUGAAUUCAACAAUGUAUGAAAAUUAUUACAUGCCAUGACUAAUUGGAAUUUAUCUCAGGUAUACAAGCCACGCUGAACAUCUGAAAAUCAAUUCAUGUGAUCCAUCACAUUAGCAGACUCAAGAAAAAAAACCACAUUAUCAUAUCAGUAGAUGUAGAAAAAAAAAAUUAACAAAAUCCAGCACCCAUUCACAAUGAAAAUGCCCAGUAAAUUAGAAAUAGAAGGUAACUUCCUCAAAUUGAUAAGGAAUAUCUCUAAAAACCUACAACUAAAAUCAUACUUAAUGGUAGAAAACUAGAAGCCUUCCCAGUAAGAGUAAGAACAAGUCAAAGAUGUAUGCUCUCACCAAUGCUUUUCAACAUCAUAUUGGAAGUCCUAGCUAGUGCAAUAAGCAAAAAAAAAAAAAAA